rnacentral:rRNA from 1 species
UACGUAGGGUGCAAGCGUUGUCCGGAAUUAUUGGGCGUAAAGAGCUCGUAGGCGGUUUGUCGCGUCGAAUGUGAAAACCCGGGGCUCAACUCCGGGCCUGCAUUCGAUACGGGCAGACUAGAGUUCGGUAGGGGAGACUGGAAUUCCUGGUGUAGCGGUGAAAUGCGCAGAUAUCAGGAGGAACACCGGUGGCGAAGGCGGCAUUCUGGACCGAAACUGACGCUGAGGCGCGAAAGCCAGGGGAGCAAACGGG